GAUGAACGCUGGCGGCGUGCCUAAUACAUGCAAGUCGAGCGAACAGACGAGGAGCUUGCUCCUCUGACGUUAGCGGCGGACGGGUGAGUAACACGUGGAUAACCUACCUAUAAGACUGGGAUAACUUCGGGAAACCGGAGCUAAUACCGGAUAAUAUAUUGAACCGCAUGGUUCAAUAGUGAAAGACGGUUUUGCUGUCACUUAUAGAUGGAUCCGCGCCGCAUUAGCUAGUUGGUAAGGUAACGGCUUACCAAGGCAACGAUGCGUAGCCGACCUGAGAGGGUGAUCGGCCACAAUGGAACUGAGACACGGUCCAGACUUCUAAGGGAGGCAGCAGUAGGGAAUCUUCCGCAAUGGGCGAAAGCCUGACGGAGCAACGCCGCGUGAGUGAUGAAGGUCUUCGGAUCGUAAAACUCUGUUAUUAGGGAAGAACAAAUGUGUAAGUAACUAUGCACGUCUUGACGGUACCUAAUCAGAAAGCCACGGCUAACUACGUG
rnacentral:rRNA from 1 species